AAUAUUGGGCAAUGGACGCAAGUCUGACCUAGCCAUGCCGCGUGAAGGAUGAAGGNGUNNUGCGUNGNAAACUUCUUUUACUANNNNNGAAAGUGCGUCAUUUUAGAUGUUUUGACGGUAACUAGUGAAUAAGCACCGGCUAACUCCGUGCCAGCAGCCGCGGUAAUACGGAGGGUGCAAGCGUUAUCCGGAUUUACUGGGUUUAAAGGGUACGUAGGCGGACUUUUAAGUCAGGGGUGAAAUCCCGAGGCUCAACCUCGGAACUGCCUUUGAAACUACUAGUCUUGAAUUAUGUUGAGGUUGGCGGAAUACAACAUGUAGCGGUGAAAUGCAUAGAUAUGUUGUGGAACACCGAUUGCGAAGGCAGCUGACUGAACAUAUAUUGACGCUGAGGUACGAAAGCGUGGGGAUCAAAC
rnacentral:rRNA from 1 species